rnacentral:rRNA from 1 species
CCAAUAGCGUAUAUUAAAGUUGUUGCAGUUAAAAAGCUCGUAGUUGAAUUUCGGGAUUGACACAUCGGUCGUGCCUUAAGGGGUAUGAACUGGUGUAGUCAAUUUCUCACCUUCUGGAGAACCGCGCUGUCCUUAAUUGGGUGACGCGGGGAACCAGGACCUUUACUUUGAAAAAAUUAGAGUGUUUAAAGCAGGCAUUUUGCUUGAAUACAUUAGCAUG